AACGAACGCUGGCGGCAUGCCUAACACAUGCAAGUCGAACGAGACCUUCGGGUCUAGUGGCGCACGGGUGCGUAACGCGUGGGAACCUGCCCUUAGGUUCGGAAUAACUCCCCGAAAUGUGUGCUAAUACCGGCUGAUGUCUUCGGACCAAAGAUUUAUCGCCUUUGGAUGGGCCCGCGUUGGAUUAGCUAGUUGGUGGGGUAAAGGCCUACCAAGGCGACGAUCCAUAGCUGGUCUGAGAGGAUGAUCAGCCACACUGGGACUGAGACACGGCCCAGACUCCUACGGGAGGCAGCAGUGGGGAAUAUUGGACAAUGGGCGAAAGCCUGAUCCAGCAAUGCCGCGUGAGUGAUGAAGGCCUUAGGGUUGUAAAGCUCUUUUACCCGGGAUGAUAAUGACAGUACCGGGAGAAUAAGCUCCGGCUAACUCCGUG
rnacentral:rRNA from 1 species